GUGACUAGUACAUUUGAACCUACUAAUAACCUAUUUAUCUGUGGUUGCGUAACUUCGUUGUUGUGUAGUGCAAACUAUUUUAUUUUUGCUGGUGUAAAGAUCACGGGUCCUCCUCAACUCGGCACUUCAUUACUUGAAGUUUACCAAAGGAACCCUAUCUCUGGCUGGCCUGAGUUCCUCCUUCGUCUGCGGAGUGUCUUGUCCAAGCUGCUCCUUUUUGCUCUUCGCCUGGCUGUCAGUGGCAGCUCAACAAUCAACACCCAAUCUACUCACACGCGCAAACACUCACAUUCAGACUCAUACAUACACGCUGUCUCUCUCUUUUACCUUCGUUGGCCUAUAAUUUAUUUUUAAAAAUGUCCGAGAAAAUAACAGUUUUCGUGGUAUUGCUUUGUGCACUGACUUUACUGAACUCUGGAGAAAACGAACAUUGUCGCUGGAAUGGAAACCAUGCAGAGGUGCCUUGACUGGGCUAGGGGGAGGCUGCUAAAUGUUGCUUCAGCAGAUGAUCUAAUUGAUCAAGUACCUCAGUUCAUUCAGGAGAUUCGUUCAUCUGGCUGGCAUGCACAACAAGUGCGUCUCAUGGCAAAUAUUCUACAUGUGUCCUGAUCAACACUCAAACAUUGUCUAAGACACUUCAAUAUGUCAAAUGCACCGUUAUAUUCUGACAUGUCAGACUUGGCUCUGGAUGAAAAGAUUAAGGACUUGGUGGCUGUGAAUGACAAACUUGGACCGGAAGCUGUUCGAGCACAAUUAGGGGCAUUGGGAAUCCAAUGUGAGGGACAGCAUGAUUCGUGUUAACCCGAGGGCAGCUGCCCUCAGAGCCAUGUCGCAGAGGCUACAUAGAAGGUCAUAACGUGUUGCUGGACAAAACUCGUUAUGGCACCUUGAUGGAAACCUCAAACUGAUAAGGUAGAUGUAUCUUUGUGAUCGACACAAUUAUCUAUAUCACUGGUGAGAAGUUGUACAUUGUAACAUCUCAAAUUGUUCAUCAACUUGUUCAUCAACAACUAGUUCAGUUUAGCAAGCAAUGGCCCAAUAUAUCAAUCAUGUGGAUAAUAAUUAUUUUGUGUUUCUGCCACUUCUGUGAUCAAUAGAAUAUCUGCAUCAUGAAAUUAACAAACAUGCCUAUAUUGAGGACAUACUGAGGCAAAAAAAACUGUUGGAACAAAGUAUUUGUGCCUAAGUGUGAACAACAGGAGAGUCUGUCCUCCUCACUCAUUAACUUGAUUCAUUAACAUUGUUCCACAUUUUGGAUGUUAAUUUAAUAUCAGGUCUGCUGCUUUGUUAUAUACUGCAGGAACCUGAUGCAGCAUCUAAGUGGUAAAGGAGGAUGGUGAUGUUUGUAUAUUUCAUGUGUUCAGCUUUUGUAUCAACCAGUGCUGUGUUUUCUGAUUUAGGUGGAGGAUAGUUAUACAUGGUGGCAUUGAUGGGUACAGCUGCCUUGUUGUGUUUCUUUGUGCUUCCAGCAACAAUCGCAGCAGUACUGUAAUGGAUUGCUUCAUGAAUGCUGUCUCCAGAUAUGGCGUUCCCUCCAGAGUUCGGACGGACCAUGGAGGAGAAAACAACACUGUCUGCUUGUUGAAUGCUAUACUUGUGGCAGCACCUAUUCCUGUGACACCGCUUCUUAUGGCCCCCCUCCACCUAUACCACUUCCUGUGGCCUCCCCUCCACCAUUCCCUGAGGCUUAUCGUCCACCACACUCUUCUGUUGAUGUUGGUGAUGACAAUGAUGUUGACCGCCAAACACUGAAGUUAAUGAGAUGCCAACCAAAUUAACAUGAUGAGGGACAACGUUUAUGAUUGUGCAAUGAGAGGCUUUAAGAGAGCCCACUUUAAUCCGGAGGCAAAAAUAGACAUGGUUUAGGGAUGCUGACGGAAAAGGGGUAGCUGAUGAGGGUGGUUCCUCAAGAAAAAUUAUCUGGCUGCUAAUGAGUGCCAUCCAUUCCUCUGCAAUAUUUGAGGGACCUGAUUGACAAAAAAGGCCUUUCUUGCAACUCUCAAGCAACAUGGGGGUGUAGAGCCACAUUUUUUCAGAGGCUAUACAGACAAGUGUGUGACCUACAACCUCCUGUGCCAGAACUGAAAGAAAUUGCGGAAUAUGACUUCAGAGAGAAGUUGGAGAAGAUUAAAAGAGGGUCUGGAGUGUAUGUCUCAUGCCUUACAUGAAUAGACACAAGCCUCUUCAGAGGUUUUCAUCUACGCUGAGAAACCUCUUUUCAAAGCAGAGCGCUCCCCACCUGGUACCAAUCAAAGAGCAAUAAAGAGAGAAGAGUCAUAUGUUUCUGGAGGGACUGACUUCUGGAGGUGGAAGGGGGAACACAUACCCUUUAACCAUGGAGAAGAUUUUCAUUUUCACUUCGGGGGCUUCAGCAUUCCUAGGCUGGGAUUGCCAGUGGAGCCACAGCUACAGUUCUCUGCAACCGCACGGCAAGCUGUACCGGAGCACCAAGUCUAGGUCCAAGAGGCUUCUAAACAGAUUCUACCCCCAAGCCAUAAGACUACUGAACAUCUAAUCAAAUGGCUACCCAGACUAUUUGCUGAUACUCUAUCUAUGCAUAGUCACUACAAUAUCUCUACUGUUGCGCCCUGACCAUAAAGAGACAUUGUUUCUCUAUGGUGAAGUAAGUCAGGGUGUGACUGGGGGUGAUCUAGUUCAUUUAUUUCUGUGGUGUUCAAGUUUAUUUUCCAUGGUGGUGAUUUGUAUGAUUCCCAAUUAGAGGCAGCUGGUAAUCGUUGUCUCUAAUUGGGGAUCAUAUUUAAGUAGUUUUUCCCACCUGUGUUUGUGGGAUAUUAUUUUGUGCAUCACUUAGUCACGUUUCUUUAAUGUUUUGCUUAAGUUUCACUUAGAAAUAAAGACGUGGAACUUG